UGGGGAAUUUUGGACAAUGGGCGAAAGCCUGAUCCAGCAAUGCCGCGUGUGUGAAGAAGGCCUUCGGGUUGUAAAGCACUUUUGUCCGGAAAGAAAUCCUUGGCUCUAAUACAGUCGGGGGAUGACGGUACCGGAAGAAUAAGCACCGGCUAACUACGUGCCAGCAGCCGCGGUAAUACGUAGGGUGCAAGCGUUAAUCGGAAUUACUGGGCGUAAAGCGUGCGCAGGCGGUUUGCUAAGACCGAUGUGAAAUCCCCGGGCUCAACCUGGGAACUGCAUUGGUGACUGGCAGGCUAGAGUAUGGCAGAGGGGGGUAGAAUUCCACGUGUAGCAGUGAAAUGCGUAGAGAUGUGGAGGAAUACCGAUGGCGAAGGCAGCCCCCUGGGCCAAUACUGACGCUCAUGCACGAAAGCGUGGGGAGCAAACAGGAUUAGAUACCCUGGUAGUCCACGCCCUAAAACGAUGUCAACUAGUUGUUGGGGAUUCAUUUCCUUAGUAACGUAGCUAACGCGUGAAGUUGACCGCCUGGGGAGUACGGUCGCAAGAUUAAAACUCAAAUGAAUUGACGGGGUCAUAG
rnacentral:rRNA from 1 species